ACAGUAUUUCCCAAAUGACUCAUAAAGCUUGAGAGGUGCUGUGUGAGCGGAUCUGGAGCAAACUAGAUAAGAUAAAAUUAGAGGUGAGAAAAGGGAGAGAAAUUGUAAUCCCAGGGGACAGGGCUGCAGGGUGGGUAGGCCCGCCCCCUGCCCACUGAACUUGGACAGGGUCCAAGAAUUGCUCCAGACCCACCUACAUACAUCCGCCGUGGAGACGCAGGCUCACAGAUGUACAUUUGUGUACACACACACACACACGUCGCUGGGAGAGUUUCCGUUCUGACCGCAGAUCGGCUUGUUUUGUGCUUCGCAAUGUGACUUUGGAGCUACUGUCUUUUCCCUGAAUUACACCCAGUCCCUUUCAUCAGUUGUGUUUUAUGUUCUUGCCCUGUUUUGCUCCAUAUUCCAGCCUUACGUCUUUCUCGAGUGCAGCCCCAGGUCAACCAAUAACCAGUGGAGCCAAUGUCAAGACAGAGCUGCGGUUAUUUGCCAUUCAGCUGGAAAAAUAAUGAUUCCCCAGCUUCCCAAGUGUGGAAAUUUCCCGGAACCAGCCUCUUUCCAGAGCCUAGGGACCCCCCUCCCCCUCCCCCGUUAGUCCAUGAACUUCCCCGCACUCGUAUUUACUCACACGCCUCGUGAGGUUCCAGACGGGAUGAGCUCACGCUCCGCCUGCUUCUUCCCGUCACCUGGAAAUCUCCUCACGGCUUUCCUGGGCAGCUUCUUAGUAUCUGUAAAGGGCAGAAGCACCAGCAUCAGCUACGGGCAGCGCUGCGCGUCUGACAGAUCUGGGUUCUGCCCAGCUCCACUACUCUGUGCCCCUAGUCAAGCCAGUCUUUGGGAGCUGUGGAUGCGUUACCUGUAAAAUGAGAAUAAUAACACCGCGGUGUAGAAAUGUGUCAUUAUCGAAGAGGCAGCUGGUACCUGCACAUAGCCAGGGCUCCAAAAAUGAUAAAUGACACCCAUCUGGGGCCUUUGGUGGUCAAUUCGCUAGAUAAUCUGGACUUAUAAGAAGCAUUAGUAAAUCCAAAUGCCUCAUUUAUGCUGUGAUUAUUUCAUUUCUUCCUAGAGAGGGCUACCUUAAGACCCACAUAGGUUUCAGGGGCAAAGACCGUCCAUUCAAUUAUACUCAUCUUACCUCCAGAAAAACUAAAAGUUAAACAAAGCAGAAGAAUGCAAACUCAAGAGACGUAUUGUGAUAAAGCAACGGGUGUACUUUUAGACUCUCAGGAGCUAUGAUGAAAAUUCUAAAUAAAAGGCAAAAGAGCCUGAGGCUGUUUAAGUAUUUCCACAUUCAGAACUCCUGUAAAUAUCUGUGUAGGUGAAGUACAUGGCUGCCAGAACAAUAAGGCCAUCUGCAAACCACCACCGAUAAUCCAAGCAGAGAACCUCUGAUAAAAUCUUACAUUGUGAUUUUUUUUUGAAACUAAAAAGUCACUUCUGUGAUUGCAGAGAGUUCUGUCCCACAGGAUCUACUGUGCUGUUUCAGAACAAUGAGAAAUGCAAAUGGCAUUUCACUUCAAACUGCAGAAAUAAUCCACAAUUCUGCUCCUUUGGCUGACCAGUCAUUUAUCGCAGGUCAUUGACAUAGGGCUGGGCGGCUUGGUAAACUAAUCACUCAGCUCCUUCGUGUGGUACUGUGCUCUUCUUAGUACAUCAUGUGAAAUUAGUUUGAUGAUUUCAGUUCCUUCUCUUGGGAUCCACAACCCAGUUCAUAGACAAACUGAAAACAACUUGGCUGAACCCAGCUUGGGUCCACAUCAGGGGACAGUUGUUUCUUGAUGUUGGAUUUAUGGAUGGCCAGUGAGUCAGUUCUGACUUCUGAGAAGGAAGUUUUGGCUGAAGACAGAGAUAAAAACAUAGUAAUAAAAAAAAAAGUGGUAUUUGCCUGUGCGUAGGUAUACAUAUGCAUGGAUGUGUGUGUGCACGUGUAUCUGCAUGCGUGGAUGCGCAUGUGCACAUGUGUCUGCAUGCGUGUGCGCACGUGCCUGCAUGCGUGGAUGCAUGUAUGUGCACGUGUGUCUGCACGCGUGGAUGUGUGUGUGCACGUGUGUCUGCAUGCGUGGAUAUGUGUGCACGUAUGUCUGUGUAUGGAUGUGUGUGUAUACGUGUGUCUGCAUGCAUGGAUAUGUGUGCACGUGUCUGUAUGCGUGGAUGUGUGUGUGCAUGUGUGGAUGCAUGUGUAUACGUGUGUCUGCAUGAGUGGAUGCGUGUGUGCACGUGUGUCCGCACGCGUGGAUGCGUUUGUGCAUGUGUGUGCAUGCAUGGAUGUGUGUGUGCAAGUGUGUGUGCAUGCGUGGAUGUGUGUGCACGUGUGUCUACAUGCAUGGAUGUGUGUGCACGUGUGUCUGCAUGCGUGGAUGUGUGUGUGCACGUGUCUGCAUGCGUGGAUGUGUGUGCACGUGUGUCUAUGUAUGGAUGUGUGUGUGCACGUGUGUCUGCACGCAUAUGGACAUGGAUGUUUGUGUGGCCAUGGUGUCGAGUUACUGUAAGACGCCAAAUACUCUGACAGAAUUUCAAGUGGCCACUUAAUAAAAUUUUCAUCUUGACAUAUUUUACUUGCUUUGGAAAAAAAGAAAUACUAUUUUAGAUCUCCCCCCACCUCGCACUGGUUUGUUUAUCUUCCUAAUCUCUCACAAGAAUAUUUCUGGCCCUAAACGUUCUUCCAGAAUUUUGCUACUUUCCCAUCAAAAGGUGAGGUCUAAAUUCCCUGUCUUUGAAACUGUGCCUUUUUGUAACUACCCCAAUGAAUUGAACGUUGCGGAUGUGGGGCUAAGAGGUGACUUCCGAGACUGGGCCAUAAUGAGGUCUCAGCUUCUCUCUCUCUCUCCUACCUCCCCCCCCCCACAUAUCGUGGGAACUCUGAGCUGAUAUGUAAGAAAGCACCUGCCAUGCUAGAGGCCACCUGAGACCCUGUGGCAGAGCAAGCCUUGCCUGAGAAGUCCAGGGGGUGCAGCCCCAGCUCCUGAUGCUUCUCUCCCGAGGAGCUGGGCAUGCGCGGGCAGUGGGCACUUUCCGGGGACCCCACGCCCCACCCUCACGCUGCCCCCCCAGGCCAAGGGCAGUCAGCGUCCCGGCCAUGCCCGCUGAGAUGGCACCAUCCAGAUGGGCAGAGAUAAGCUGUCCCCACCAAACCCCGUCCAAAUGGCAGAUUUAUGAGGAAAAUAAACAUGAUGAAGUUACUCUGUUUGGGGUGGUUUCUUACACAGCAACAGACAACUGGAAUAGCACAUGAUGUGAAAUUAGCUUGAUGAUUUUUUUUUCCUUUGUGGAUUUUUUUUUUUUUAAUUUGGGGAACCAUAAUCCAGUUCAAAGACAAACCAAAAUAUUUGACUGGAACUACCAACCUGGCAAGGCAGCUGUGACUUGAUGCUGAUUUGGUGAAAGUCAGUGAGUGUGUCUUGGCUUCUGAGAAGGUGGCUUUGCCUGGAGAAGCAGAAAACAAUAUAUAUUUUUAAGUGUGUGUAACAACCUUGUACCAAUGCCAAUUUCCUAAUUUUAAUACUGAACAAUGGUUACAUAAAAUGAAAACAUUGGGGCAAACUGGAGGAAGGGUGCAUGGGAUUGCUCUGUGAAAUUUUGCAACUGCAUGUGAAUCUAUUUCAAAAAAACUGUAAGUGGCUGUAAUGAGUCUGUGUGUGUGUGUGUGGUGUUGGGAUUGGGGUGGAGGCUAUGGUGAGUGAAUUGAUUUGGAAUGGCAAUUAUUCUGCUGGAACUUUAAUAAAAGUUUGAUCAUUACAUACAUUAACUACUUAAAGAAAAGGUACAUGAACUGCAGAUAUUUUUAUUCAUUCAUUCGCCACAGGCCCCUCAGUAUCCAGCCAAAUUUAAGGAGGGAGGAGGGGCAUCUUACUUUCACCUUUUCAGUCAAUUCCUACGGUGCUCUUCCCAGAAGAUCAUAAGCCUUGACAAAAGGGCCUGAAAACUGUGAAAGAAUCUCAGACUCGCUGGGUGGGCUCCAGUUUCUUCCAGGCUACGGAGAGGGCUUAGGAUGUGACAGCCAGGCAGGAGCUGCCAGUCACUGAAGGGGAAAGCUACCAUGCUUGACAUUAAUCCUGGGAAUCCGACUGAACUGCUAACUCAGGAGAUGGUUUUUAAACAAGGGGAGGAGAGACUAGGAGAGGUGCACAGCAACCCAGGACCCUAAGAAAAAGACUCCACUCUGAAUUCCCUUUCUGCUUUUGUCCAUAGGCUUAUCUUCCUGGUAGAUGGAGGAACAGGGCAGACAUGAUAUGCUGAGGCUCCGACAUAUUUCCAGACCCUGCGGGAGUGGGCUGGAGAGCCUGGGAAUGACCGCAUGGAAAUGUAUGGCAUGUGUACACACCCACGUGCGGCAUAUGCUGGAAAUGCAUUCAUUUCCAAUGAAGUACCUGAGAAAGGUGAUUAAAAAACCGACAUAAAACACAAGCACGGUGGCAGGCAGAGCCUCUUAACUAAAGGAGAGACGUGACUACACGCGAGCGAUACUGACGUGAACCCGUGAUACCGAGAAGACGUCUCUUCCAGUCUGCUGGACCCUGAAGGAGGCAGGAGUGAAAAGAAGGACAAUGGAUUCGAGCUGCAGCUCAAAUAAGAGUCUCAGGGAGAAGAAUGAUUAAUUGAUGGUGGAGUGAAUGGAGGCUUUUUGCUUUGCCUGGUUUGAAGGAGUGUGCAGGCGCGCACGUUUGUGUGUGUGUGUGUGUGUGUGCACUCGGGUGAGCUCACACAUGUGUACACAUGCUGAUUUUAAGCAACUAGUUCAACAAAGUAAAUGAGUGCAGACUCAACUGAAAGCGGUUGUGGCCAGAGAUUUCCAACUUGGCUCAUUAUGACUUCUUGUCACCUUUUUGAAGUAUAGAUUCCCAGGCCCUACUUCAGACCUUGGGAGUCAGGAUCUUUGAAAGGAGAGCCCUAAAUUCUAGGUUUUUAAGUGCUCCCCAGGCGAUUCUUCGUAUCACUCGGGUCUGGAGAACGAGGUAGGAAUGAAUGGAUGCUUCAGUUUCCCGUCCUUCAAGUGGCACUGGCAUCAGGCCAUUUCUAUUCAGCUGCGCUGAGGUAACAGCCCGUCCAGGGGCAGCUCCAGGUGGAGCCUUUCAGACGAUGAACUCCCAGAGACAAUGGCAGACCCAGGAUGAACUCUCCACCGUGUGGGAAACACAUUCAGAGCGACUUUAUUUCUAGAUUUCUCUGUUUUAACCCAGAAUCCAUUUACACACAUCCCCCCAGAUCUCCUUCCUGCUUCCUCCCUUGGAUGCCAACAGUUCACCACACAGAAAGUUGUGUGUGUGUGUGUGCGUGUGUGUGGCAGGAGGAGUGGGGCUGUGCCAGGAGGGAUGGCUUCAGGAAAGACCCCUUCUCAGCAUGGUGUCUGCGUUCAGUUACGACGAUUCUGAAGAUCUUGUACUUCAGGGCGUCCUCCAGAGAGGAAGGGCUGGUUGUUAAAAGGAAUGGGUACUCAUACCAGUGGUUCUUUUCGAAAACACCCCGACUGGCCAGACUGACAAAGGGGGAGGGGCAUUACUCAAAAAUGGAUUCUUCUCAAUCUCAUGAUCUGCACAGAAUUCCCCCUAAUCCUCUCUGUAUUACUCAGGGAGGGUUAACUUCUGUUCCUUACAAUCCCCAAGGCUCAGUGGCUCAACAGUUCAGGUGACCCUCUCGUCCCCAUCCUAGCACACUGCAGGGCACAGCAGGCUGCGCUCCACAGGGUGAUUCAGGGACCCAGGAUCCUUCCUUAUCAAUGCUCUGCCCUUUCCGAGGCUCUCAGACACCUUCACUGGGGUUGUGCAUUAGACCAGCAGGUGAGGCAUGAGAAAAGAACAUGGAAAACCCAUGGGAAGUUUGUUGCGGUUAAAGCUUGGGAAUUCUGUGAGCUAGAACCCAGGUUCAUGGCCUCUUUCACUGCCAGGGAGGCUAACGAAUGUAAGCUAGCUAUGUGCUUAGGUCAAAGCAGAAACAGGUUCUGGUGAACACAUAGUCUUUGCCCCAUCUCUUUGGGCAGCUUUAAAAUACGACGUGAUGAGAAUGACUUUAUCUGUGUGAUUUUCCUCGCUCAAACCCCUUACCCGCAACUAAUCCUGGAGAAAAUAUCACCUAAGUCCCAGUGGAGGGAUAUUCUACAGAACACCUGACUCGCACUCCUCACAGCUGUCAAAGUCAUCAAAAACAAGGGAAGUCACAGCCAAGAAGCGCCCAAAGAGACGGGAUAGGUGCAAGGUGUCCGGGUGACCUGGAGGCUCAGUGUUGACUGAACAGCGAAAACUUAGUGUCAUUAAAUCAGAAACUCCGAUCUCGUGCAAGAAGCAAGGAGACUGGUUCCCGGUGGUCCACACGGGAGGCCCCAGGAAGGAAGCUCUGCAAACAGCUCUGAGUGCUGGCCCCCGCGGCCUCUGCUGCCAGCUGCCUUUAUCACCGGAAGCCCUGCCCUCUACGCAGCUGCCCUCCGCCGCUGCCACAGAACCACUGAGGAAACCCUGGACCCUGAGAUGUGGAGGAAGCCGCUCUGCAAUUGGAGAGCAGUUGCCAGGCUGGACGCCAAGGACAAGCCCCACCACUGUGUCUGUUGUUCUUAGGGGACAAAAACGUUCCCACCAUCCCAACCACCACCAAGGUGUUCUUGGAAGGGAGGUGGUUGGCAUCCAAAGGCUUCAUGAGGGAACCUUUUUCCUCACUGAGGUCACUACAUUUUUUUUUUUUUAAGGGCUGCAUCUGUGGCAUAUGGAGAUUCCCAGAACUGUAGCCACCGGCCUACACCAGAGCUACAGCAACGAGGGAUCUGAGCUGUGUCUGCGACCUACACCACAGCUCACCGUAACACCGGAUCCUUAAGCCACUGAGUGAGGCCAGGGGUCGAACCCAUGUCCUCGUGGAUGCUAGCCGGGUCCGUUACUGCUGAGCCGUGGCGAGAGCUUCAGAGUCACUACAUUUGCUGUUGAUUCCUUGGCUUUCUUGGCUCUUCAAGGAAAUAUAUUUCUGAAAAUUA
rnacentral:lncRNA from 1 species